rnacentral:rRNA from 1 species
GACGGAGGGUGCAAGCGCUGUUCGGAUUGACUGGGCGUAAAGGGCGUGUAGGCGGUUGGUCAAGUCCGAUGUGAAAGCCCGGGGCUCAGCUUCGGAAGUGCAUCGGAAACUAGCCAGCUGGAGCGCGAUAGAGGAGGGCGGAAUUCCUGGUGUAGCGGUGAAAUGCGUAGAUAUCAGGAGGAACACCGGCGGCGAAGGCGGCCCUCUGGAUCGUUGCUGACGCUGAGACGCGAAAGCGUGGGGAGCAAACAGG